rnacentral:snoRNA from 1 species
AGCACAGGUUCAAACAGUAAAUCCUCUUUUGCAAUCCAGAACUCAUUGUUGAGUAUGUGUUUUGGUACAUGUAAGAAGGAAUAGG